GGGUGCAGUGUAUACUACUUGGGUGAUGUGUGCACCAAAAUCUCACAAAUCACCAGCUAAAGAGCUUUCUCAUGUAACCAAAUGUCACCUGUUCCCUAAUAACCUAUGGAAAUAAACAAAAAUAAACAGAAACUCUGGCAUUU